rnacentral:lncRNA from 1 species
GGUUUAUGGGGUUGGUUCCCACUGCCUCGUAUACACAUUCCCCUGCUUUUAGCUCUAAUUUACUGCCAAUGGCGCCAAAUAUGCCCUUCCCUUCUGCCAUUUAUGGGGCUAGUGGCUCAAUCCCCUUUAUUGUUGAUUCAGGUGCACCUGUUGUGCCUCAAAUUAUGGGCUCUACAUCAGCGGUUCCAAUAGCUUCACCUGUUGUGCCUCAAAUUAUGGGCUCUACAUCAGCGGUUCCAAUAGCUUACUCUCAGGCACAAGUCAUUAUGAACAUGAGCAAUGCAGCUGCUGGUUUAAAUGGUUCAGGCCCCUCACGGCCUAAUUUUGACCUGAAUUCCAGAUUAGCAA